CCUACGGGGGGCUGCAGUGGGGAAUAUUGGACAAUGGGCGAAAGCCUGAUCCAGCCAUGCCGCGUGUGUGAAGAAGGCCUUCGGGUUGUAAAGCACUUUCAGUGGGAAGAAAGCCUUUGGGCUAAUACCCUCGAGGAAGGACAUCACCCACAGAAGAAGCACCGGCUAACUCCGUGCCAGCAGCCGCGGUAAUACGGAGGGUGCGAGCGUUAAUCGGAAUUACUGGGCGUAAAGCGCGCGUAGGCGGUCUGAUAAGCCGGUUGUGAAAGCCCCGGGCCCAACCUGGGAACGGCAUCCGGAACUGUCAGGCUAGAGUGCAGGAGAGGAAGGUAGAAUUCCCGGUGUAGCGGUGAAAUGCGUAGAGAUCGGGAGGAAUACCAGUGGCGAAGGCGGCCUUCUGGACUGACACUGACGCUGAGGUGCGAAAGCGUGGGUAGCAAACAGGAUUAGAUACCCGGGUAGUC
rnacentral:rRNA from 1 species